CAGGCUUAACACAUGCAAGUCGAGGGGCAGCAUGAACUUAGCUUGCUAAGUUUGAUGGCGACCGGCGCACGGGUGAGUAACACGUAUCCAACCUUCCGUUUACUCAGGGAUAGCCUUUCGAAAGAAAGAUUAAUACCUGAUAGUAUGGUGAGAUUGCAUGAUAGCACCAUUAAAGAUUUAUUGGUAAACGAUGGGGAUGCGUUCCAUUAGGUAGUAGGCGGGGUAACGGCCCACCUAGCCGACGAUGGAUAGGGGUUCUGAGAGGAAGGUCCCCCACAUUGGAACUGAGACACGGUCCAAACUCCUACGGGAGGCAGCAGUGAGGAAUAUUGGUCAAUGGGCGAGAGCCUGAACCAGCCAAGUAGCGUGAAGGAUGAAGGUCCUACGGAUUGUAAACUUCUUUUAUACGGGAAUAAAGUUUCCUACGUGUAGGAUUUUGUAUGUACCGUAUGAAUAAGCAUCGGCUAACUCCGUGCCAGCAGCCGCGGUAAUACGGAGGAUGCGAGCGUUAUCCGGAUUUAUUGGGUUUAAAGGGAGCGCAGACGGGAGAUUAAGUCAGUUGUGAAAGUUUGCGGCUCAACCGUAAAAUUGCAGUUGAUACUGGUUUCCUUGAGUGCAGUUGAGGCAGGCGGAAUUCGUGGUGUAGCGGUGAAAUGCUUAGAUAUCACGAAGAACCCGGAUUGCGAAGGCAGUUGCUAAACUGUAA
rnacentral:rRNA from 1 species